AUCAUGGAACCCUGGGCUGACCAGGGCACUGCCUGAGUGCAUUCUGCCAGGUGACAGGGGCGGGCCAGCAUAAUGCCUGAGUUCUUACAGUCCCCCAGUCCUACUCCUCACCCUUUACCUCAACCCCACCCAAACCACAAUGAUAGCACUCAGCCGGCCUUGCCCUCUCCUGUCACACAAGGUCCCAGGCAAGUAUUCAGAGGCUCCAGGUGAAGAAAGGCUGUGUCUUGCCCGGAAAAUCACUUCCUUCCUCGAGCCCAGAGAGGUUCUCAUCAAUAAUCUGGAGUUUUACAACAGAAAGCUGCCUCAGUGGGCAGCUGGGAGGUUAAAUAUGUUAAUCCAUGUAAAAGACUUAGAGCAGCGUCUGGCCCUGGAAGCUUUUAAUAAACGUGCCCCAUUAUUAAUAUGAUUGUUCCCACUGGAACGUUCCAGGUCUCUCUGGCUGACCUCAUCUCCUCUCCGGGAGAUUCGUGGAUUGACUUCCGACACCUGCUUGCGUUUUUAAUUUAUCCUUUCAUCUUAUUCGCCCACCUUCCCUUCUCCUUUCCUCCUCCUCCCAACCCUGACAUGUCAUUGAAUCCGCUUAAUUCAUUCCAAGGCUCAGAGCCCCAGAUCUCUGAAUGCGACAGAUUGAGGGGGUGGGCUAGGGGUGGAGAAUGGAGGCGUAGGUGUAAUAGGACUUAAAUAGGCUUGCACACGCUUCUCUUUUUAAUUUGCACAUUCUGCUCCACCAUUGGGGCCACUUUUGUUUUGCCUUCUCUUGAGUAAGUAGGAAGAUGAUUUUUUUUUAACUGCUUCUUUCCAGCAGGCAGUCUUGGCGGGUGCAAAAUGCGUUAACACCUCCGUGCACGUAAACGUUCUAGUUACAUGCUGACCAGCAGCCAAUCCCAGGCCCCCACUCUGACUCUGAUGCAAUCUUAAGGUCCCAGUGUCUGGUGGGUGACGAGCCAUCAAAGGGCUGGGUAAUGAAGGAAGCCAUUUGGAGCCCCCCAGUUCCCUCUCUGUGGCUCUGUUAACCCACCCUGGCUCCUGGUGCGCUCCCUCCCCUGUGGCAGUGGGUUUCCGCACAGGCUUCCAGCAUGGCGAAUGGGACCUGAUUGGCAGACACAAAGGUGAGCGCACACGUCCAGGGAUGGAGAUAGGACUUGACUUAAGCUGUGGUGAGAAAUCCAGUCUGAUCUCAGGAGGCUGAAAUCAUGGAGGCUUAGCAUCCAUCACUCUCUCAUGGCGGUCAGGGGAUCCGGGCUCAGUCCUCUGCUUGCUGGGUAGCUCCCACUCUUGCUAAGCAGCAAGCCCCUCCGGGUGGAGCUGGCCACAGGUUGCACACCCAGUCUGCCUGGCAGCGAGUGGGUGCCUCCUCCAACUGACAGGCAGCAGAGCCCAGGCCGCAGGAACUGAGAAUUCUCCAGGGAGAGAAGAGGAGGAGAGCUAGGGUCAUACUCCCGGACUCUGUCAGGCCUGGUGGGACUCGGUGGUGGGUAGAGGUUGGGAGCGGAGGCCAACCGUUUACCGGCACAGUCAACAAACAAGGACGGAGGACACAAAGCCAGACAUUGUGCUAAGCGCUGAGGAAGUAAAAAGGAAUUCUUAUUUAUAAUUUAUACCCCACCUACUUCCAAAGAGAAUUUUAAAGGUGACUCACAAUGAAAAACCACAUAUGAAGCAAGAUCGCUGAGUUAAAAACUGAAAUGCCAAACCAUGGGAAUGAAGAAAGGGAAGCCUGUGUUGCCUAUCACCACUGUGCCAAAGUCUGUCCGUCCUUCUGUCCAGCAAUUCCACUUUACAGAAGAGGGCGAUGGGAACGAGGAGGUGUGCCUCGAGCUGAGGGAAAGCUUAUCUACUUUCUCUGGGUAGAGGCGUGGGGAGAACGCCGGUUAUCCAGUUACACAAGCUCCUGGCCUGCUUGAGCAGUUGAAAAUUAUCGUUCAUGGGUGGCUUGGAUGACACAGCUGUCUGCCACAUCAGCUCUCAAGAAAAGCCCACUAGAACACCAUGCCUUUCUCUGCUGAAGGAAGGUAAAUAUUGGUAAGCCUGGUGGUGCCGUAGCUGGUGUUCUGAGACCUGAAUGUAGCCUGAACACCCUUGCAGAAACAGAAUGAUAGCCCCGUGGGAACUACACCUUUCAGGCAUGUUUUGGACAUAGAAGCAGAGCUACUGUCCAUCUCUCCCAUCCCGAGGGAAUCCAAAGAGCUGCACAUGAAAAAGGAGAGGGCAGAGCCAAUCUCUGUUAUCACAGUUCUUGUGAAGAUUAGUCAUGCUCCAAAAUGUGAACUAGAAAUGUUGAGAGUUUGGGAAGGAAAUGACUCAACCAGUAUAAAACGUUACAAAAUAAUCAAUCAGCCAGACCCCGGAGUCUUCUACAUUUAGGCUGCAGACUUGCAACGAUCAAAAGGCUGGAUGGAUAUAAAGUGCGAACCUUAUCUUGGACCAGGAGGAAAAUCUAAAAAGCUAAGAGCAGCUGCCUUUGACAGAAAGAUGAACAUGAAGAGAAACAAGGGCUUUCUGCUGGGAAGGACUGGACUCCAGGGAUCAUCUGGUCAAACACCUGCCUGUGGGGUGGAGAAUAAGCAAGGGUAGUUACUCUCGCCUCUCUUGUCCAUAUUAUCCAACCCAUUUCAUUAUAUAAAAAAUGUUUUAAGAGUUGAGAUGUUGGCCGGGCAUUGGUGGCGCACGCCUUUAAUCCCAGCACUCAGGAGGCAGAGGCAGGUGGA